AUUGAACGCUGGCGGCAGGCCUAACACAUGCAAGUCGAGCGGAUGAAGGGAGCUUGCUCCUGGAUUCAGCGGCGGACGGGUGAGUAAUGCCUAGGAAUCUGCCUGGUAGUGGGGGAUAACGUCCGGAAACGGGCGCUAAUACCUCAUACGUCCUGAGGGAGAAAGUGGGGGAUCUUCGGACCUCACGCUAUCAGAUGAGCCUAGGUCGGAUUAGCUAGUUGGUGGGGUAAAGGCCUACCAAGGCGACGAUCCGUAACUGGUCUGAGAGGAUGAUCAGUCACACUGGAACUGAGACACGGUCCAGACUCCUGCGGGAGGCAGCAGUGGGGAAUAUUGGACAAUGGGCGAAAGCCUGAUCCAGACAUGCCGCGUGUGUGAAGAAGGUCUUCGGAUUGUAAAGAACUUUAAGUUGGGAAGAAGGGCAGUAAGUUAAUACCUUGCUGUUUUGAAGGUACCAACAGAAUAAGCACCGGCUAACUUCGUG
rnacentral:rRNA from 1 species